UUAUACUACACAGAUACAAAAAGAAUUUUAGCUGAGGAUAAGCUCUAAAAGAUGAACGAAUAUAUUAGCUUAGCAUGAAUCUGAUCUUACCUUGUCUUGCAAAAAAGUGAUACAGAACCCACUGGAAUUUGUUGUUGUCUCAAUGCUGAAGAAGACAGGGCUCAAAAUGAUUCUAGUUAUUCCUGGUUGAAAGCACCCAGAAUAUGGCAUUGAUUUAUAAGGAAUCCAUACAACUUCAGGAGUAUAUUCAGGCAUCCAACUGUGUAAUUAGUGCUGAACCAUCCUGUAUGGUUUUUCAUAGACAUGGAAGGCACUCUGUACUUGAGCGAAGGCUGAAACAAGAAAAG